CAGUCGCCACGGUAAUACGGAGGGUGCAAGCGUUAUCCGGAUUCACUGGGUUUAAAGGGUGCGUAGGCGGGCAGGUAAGUCAGUGGUGAAAUCUUCGAGCUUAACUCGGAAACUGCCGUUGAUACUAUCUGUCUUGAAUAACGUUGAGGUGAGCGGAAUAUGUCAUGUAGCGGUGAAAUGCUUAGAUAUGACAUAGAACACCGAUUGCGAAGGUAGCUCACUAAACGCUCAUUGACGCUGAGGCACGAAAGCGUGGGGAUCAAACAGGAUUAGAUACCCGGGUAGUCCCUGUCUCUUAUAC
rnacentral:rRNA from 1 species